GACGAACGCUGGCGGCGUGCUUAACACAUGCAAGUCGAACGAAGUGGCGAACGGGUGAGUAACGCGUAAUCAACCUGCCCUUCAGAGGGGGAUAACAGUUGGAAACGACUGCUAAUACCGAAUACUGAAGGAGGGGAUUGAGUCUGAUUAGCUAGUUGGGGGGGUAACGGCCCACCAAGGCGUGGAUCAGUAUCCGGUCUGAGAGGUGGAACGGCCACAUUGGGACUGAGACACGCCCCAGACUCCUACGGGGGGCAUCAGUGGGGAAUCUUCCGCAAUGGACGAAAGUCUGACGGAUCGACGCCGCGUGAGGGAUGACGGCCUUCGGGUUGUAAAGCUCUGUUAAUCGGGACGCGGUACCGGGAUAGAAAGCCACGGCUAACUACGUGCCAGCAGCCGCGGUAAUUC
rnacentral:rRNA from 1 species